AGUUUGGUCAAAGCUUCCAAAGGAAGCUUUGACUCUGAUUUUUUCAGCCCAAAACAGUUCUUAUCUCCUCCAGCAAGAUUUUUUCCUCUUCUCUUCCAUGCUCCACACCAUUCUUGAAGCUUCCAUGCCAUUUUCUCUUUGUCCGCCAUGAAACCAAGUUUUCUUCAUUUUUCCUUUACAUGUUUUCUUUUCCUUUCUUCUCCAAAAUUCUUGAGCACUAAAUUUACAGCCUUUAACCCCAAUUUCCAGCACAUCUAAACCCUAGGAGGAGAAGAAAGAAAAAGAGAGAAAGGAAGAAAAAGCUUGGUUUUGGUGAUUCAAGCAAGGAACGGAAGUGCAAAGAUAAGGUUACAGUACUGUGGUGGCAUGCCGAAGUAAAUAACGAGCGAUCGGUCAGUGAAAAUAGUUAUAGACACCUCCGAUCAAAUAGCGGUGUAAUAUCCCGCUAUAGUAAGGUUUUCUGAGUUAAAGGCGAUUGGAUCCUAGGAUGAGGUGCUCCUCCUUAUACAUUGCUCUGUAGGUUAACGUGCCACUAAGUGUUAUCAAUCGUGCCUAGAGUCACUCCGCUAACGGUCGAGGUCUAAUUAUGUGUAUAUGGAUAUUUGAUGUGAAACAUUAAGGUUCAUUUGUUAUUCUAUAUAUGUAUAUAAUGGUUAAUGA